rnacentral:rRNA from 1 species
GGAAUCUUCCACAAUGGACGAAAGUCUGAUGGAGCAACGCCGCGUGAGUGAAGAAGGGUUUCGGCUCGUAAAACUCUGUUGUUAAAGAAGAAUGACAUUGAGAGUAACUGUUCAAUGUGUGACGGUAUCUUACCAGAAAGGAACGGCUAAAUACGUGCCAG